AUUGAACGCUGGCGGCAUGCUUUACACAUGCAAGUCGAACGGUAACAGGGAGCUUGCUCCGCUGACGAGUGGCGAACGGGUGAGUAAUGCAUCGGAACGUGCCGUGUAAUGGGGGAUAACGUAGCGAAAGUUACGCUAAUACCGCAUACGCCCUGAGGGGGAAAGUGGGGGACCGCAAGGCCUCACGUUAUACGAGCGGCCGAUGUCGGAUUAGCUAGUUGGUGGGGUAAAGGCCUACCAAGGCGACGAUCCGUAGCGGGUCUGAGAGGAUGAUCCGCCACACUGGGACUGAGACACGGCCCAGACUCCUACGGGAGGCAGCAGUGGGGAAUUUUGGACAAUGGGGGCAACCCUGAUCCAGCCAUGCCGCGUGAGUGAAGAAGGCCUUCGGGUUGUAAAGCUCUUUCAGGUGGAAAGAAAUACGCAUCUUUUAAUACUAGGGUGUGGAUGACGGUACCAUCAGAAGAAGCACCGGCUAACUACGUGCCAGCAGCCGCGGU
rnacentral:rRNA from 1 species